UCUCAUGUCCUUCUGCACAAACUCCAUCGCCAGCUCAAUAAAAUAAUGAAUCAUUUAUGCACUCAGCCUUGUCGUCUUUGCAUGCUCAUCAGCAUCAAAUCCACUUCCUAUGUGUAAAGUUGAAAGCGUAUAGUGCCAUAAAAGUAACCCAACCCUUCUCUUUCAAGCUUUUUCCCUUUGCGUUGGACUCCAAAAUUCAUAUGAUUCACGCAACUCAAUGACAUCCUUUUACGGUUCAUUUCCUCCUUUAAUUCCAUCCGUUUCACAACUCAUGAAUAUAAAAUAUUUGAAGAUUCUGUGAAAUCUGAAGCAUUAGAAAUACAAACAAAUUGUAAAUUUUUCUUACACUCUCUCUUAUAGAAAAUAUAGUCUUAAAAUAUUCCAUCUCCUCAGUACAUAUUUUGUGUACUAACCUCAAUAGGUCGCUUUGUAGAGCUUUCAAGUCUUAAUAUCAUUUUUAUUGGACGAGUAAAAGAUUUAUUCUUCUAUCUAAUUCCUUCUACUUUUUCAUGUUUCCUUUACUCAUCUUCCACUCACCAUCACUGUCUCCAAGGUUAGCUUUAUUCUACACUUUCCCUAUGUCAUCUCCUCUUGCAUUAUUACAUCAACUUGAGAAGGAGAAUGCUCCUUCUCAUGUUUAAUGUACAUUUCACAAAAUUAUACUUCGAUCCUUGCCAUUUAUUUCCAUUGGUCAUCUUGACAAAUAAUUUUUAAAGAUGAUUUUUUAUGUUCAGUUAAAUUAUUCUUCAUUUUCAUAUUAAUAUAUUUUUAGUAAGGCCUACACAUAAUAUAACAAAAAAUAGAGGUGUCUAAUUAUAAAUGACCAUAGGACGAGGGUCGAUUAUGUUAAGUGUAAGGACUGAAACGUAAAGACAAAGGAAUAAAGAAAACUUCAAGGUUCGAUAUGUAAAACUUACCAAACCGCACCCAUAUAUGCCGAGGACUCGACUUCGCCGUCUUCCUCACCCUUCUGCGGAGACAAUGGAGGAUGGAAUGAGGACAAGGAGCUUCAGGGACGAGGACUACAGCAACAGGAGGGCGUUCCUGCGGAGCUACCCGCUUCAGUGGGGAGAACAGAAGGAAGAAGAGGAAAGGGAGGGUUACCAGAAGGAAGCAGCGGCGUCGCGGGAGCACCAGGCCUCUCUCAAGACCAGGCUUGCAGUUGUGCUACAGUGGGGUGGGGCGACGCUCCUGCUCCUCAAGAGGUGGAAGAGGAAGAUUGGGUGUUACUCUGUGGCUUGCGGUCCUUUUG
rnacentral:lncRNA from 1 species